GUGCCAGCAGCUGCGGUAAUACGGAGGGUGCAAGCGUUAAUCGGAAUUACUGGGCGUAAAGCGCACGCAGGCGGUCUGUCAAGUCGGAUGUGAAAUCCCCGGGCUCAACCUGGGAACUGCAUUCGAAACUGGCAGGCUAGAGUCUUGUAGAGGGGGGUAGAAUUCCAGGUGUAGCGGUGAAAUGCGUAGAGAUCUGGAGGAAUACCGGUGGCGAAGGCGGCCCCCUGGACAAAGACUGACGCUCAGGUGCGAAAGCGUGGGGAGCAAACAGGAUUAGAUACCCUGGUAGUCCACGCCGUAAACGAUGUCGAUUUGGAGGUUGUGCCCUUGAGGCGUGGCUUCCCGGAGCUAACGCGUUAAAUCGACCGCCUGGGGAGUACGGCCGCAAGGUUAAAACUC
rnacentral:rRNA from 1 species